rnacentral:lncRNA from 10 species
CCACAAUGAGACAUCACCUCACUAGUUAGAAUAACUAUUAUCAAAAAGACAAAACAUAAGAAGUGUUGAGGAUGCAGAGAAAAGGGAACCCUUACAAUUAAGGGAAAUGUACAUGAGUACAGCCAUUAUGGAAAACAGUAUGAACGUUCCUAAAAAAAUUAAACAGAAUUACUCUAUGACCCAACAACUGCACUCCUUGGUAUGUAUUCAAAGGAAGUGAAAUCCGUAUGUUGAAGAGGUAUCUGCAAUCCCAUGUUUAUUGCAGGACUAUACACAAUAGCCAAGAUAUAACUGACUUAAGUGUUCAAAGUGAAUGAAUGGAUAAAGAAAAUGUGAUAUAUAUACACAAAGGAACACUAUUCAGCUAUUAAAAAGAAUGAAAUCCUGUUAUUUAUAACAUGAAUGAACCUAGAGGACAAUACAUUAAGUGAAAAUAAGCCAGAUACAGAAAGACAAAUGCCACAUUUUCACUUACAUGCCAAGUCUAAAAACGUUGAUCUAUAAGUAGUGAAUAGUACAUAGAACAGUGGUUACCAGGGACUGGAGGUGGUAGUGGGAGGGAUGGGGAGAAGGUGGUGAACAGCUAAAAAGUUACAAUUAGACAGGAGGGGCCCAGUGCAGUGACUUACACCUGUAAUCCCAGCACUUUGGGAGCCUGAGAUAGGACUGUUCGAGGCCAGGAGUUUAAGACUAGCCUGGGUGACAUAGGGAGACCCCUAUGUCAAUAUUUUAAAAGAUAAAAAAUUAGCCAGGCCUGGUGAUGCAUGUCUGUAGUCUUAGCUACUUGGGAGGCUAAGGUGGGAGGACUGCUUAACCCCAGGUAUUUAAGGUUGCAGUGAGCUAUGAGCACGCCUGCCACUGCACUCCAGCCUGGGUGAGAUCAAGUACCUGUCUCAAAAAAGAGAAAAAAGGAGUAAGAUUUGGUAUCCUAUUGCACAGCAGAGUGACUACAGUCAACAGUAAGGUACUGUGGACCCAGGCACUGUGGCUCAUGCCUGUAACCCCAGCAUGUUGGGAGACUGAGGCAGAAGGAUCGCUUAAUGCUAGCCAGGAGUCUGAGACCAGCCCACGCAACAUAGUAAGACCCCAACUCUACAAAAAAAUAAUAAAAUUAGCUGGGUACAAUGGUGUACACCUGUAGUACCAGCUACUAAGGAGGCUGAGGUGAGAGGAUUACUUAACAAGGGAGUUCAAGGCUGCAGUGAGCCAUAAUCAUGGCACUGCACUCUAGCUUGGGCAAUAGAGCAAGAUCUUGUUUUAAAAAACAAAAAACUAAUAAGGUAUUGUGUACCUCAAAAUAGCUAGAGGAGAGGAUUUUAAAUGUUCUCACCACAAAAACACCGUGUUUCAGGUGAUGGAUAUGCUAAUCACCCUAAUUUGAUCAUUAUAAUGUAUACAUGUAUCGAAACAUCACAUUGCACCCCAUAAAUAUGUACAUUAGGUGUCAAAAAUAAAUUUUAAAAUAGGAGGAGUGGGAGAGGCUCCUUUUUCAAUCCAG